rnacentral:lncRNA from 1 species
GUCUCCCGGAGAGGCGUCUCCGGGCUGACCGCGGCCGCAGCUCCGCUCCUCUGCCUGAGCCGUGCGGCAGCCCUGGGAGCCUCUCAACGCCGAGCUUUCCUCAGAAGCCCGCGGCGACCCGGGCCUCGGCCGCUGUUCCUGCCCGAACUGAGGGCACAUCGCGCUUCGCGCGGGAUUUCCCAUAAAUUCAGGCUCCGGGCAAGAUUGUGUGUUUUUUCCUCUCCGCGGGCCGCCGCUGGCCGUGUGGGCCGAAGAAGCCCUGGAGGGGGAGAGGGGAGCCGCUCUCGACUGGGCUUGCGGCGUGGGAGGGACAGUGAGGGACACUUAGGGACUGUGUGGGGCAGUGAAGGAUAGUGUGGGAUGAUGAGGGACCGUGUGGACCGGUGAGCGACUGUGUGGGACAGUGCGGGACGAUGAGAGACGGUGUGGGACGGUGAGGGACAGUGCGGGACGAUGAGGGACAGUGAGGGACUGUGUAGGACAGUGAGGGACAGUGUGGGACGGUGAGGGACUGUGGGACAGUGAGGGACUUUGGGACUGUGAGGGACUCGGACAGUGAAGGAUGGCAAGGGACAGUGUGGGACAGUAUGGGACAGUGGACAGUGAGGCACUGUGAGGGGCGGUGAGGGACAAUGAAGGAUGUCAAGGGACAGUGUGGGACAGUGGACGGUGAGGUACUGUGAGGGGCGGUGAGGGACAGUGUGGGACUGUGAGGGAUGGCGAGGGACAGAGUAGGACAGCAAGGGAGGAUGAGGGGACAGAGUGGGCCGGCGUGGGGCGGUGAGGCUACGCGGGGGGAACCCAGGGCUCCUCUGACUGCGUUGGAAUAUGGAGGAAAGGUCCUGCUCGAGGUUGAGCCCUUCAGGGUCGCUGUGGGUUUCCAGGAGGAGCUCCCUCACUACUGACUUAGGGGGCCCUCGGCUUCCCAGGUUUGUGUUUACUCAGGCGACCUGAGCUGGCCCCGACGUCUUUUGGCUUUGGAGAGGCCACGGAUGCCCAAGGACAAAGCCCCAGCGGGCCUGUGGGAGGAGGUUUCUCGGGGCGCCAGUGAUGCAACUUAGGCUUAUAGUUUAACCGUAAAAUAAAUAAUACAAAUGAUAACAAACCAAGAGUGACUAAAGUCAGAAAAAAAGCAAACAGACGGAAACCCUCUAGUUUUAACUAGAACAAAUUCCCUGGCUGGUCCUCUGUUGGGAGAGCCCAGAGACCUGUCGCUGACCUCUAGCCUCCUGGAGCCCCUGCUUGCACUUCAGCAAUAAUGCCUGAUAGUUAGACACUGAUCACUAGCUAAUUGGGGUAGUUUAACAUAUGGAAUGAGAUUCUGGCCUUAUUAUCAGGUUAACUAUUAACUCUACACCCCAUGAAAUGAUUUGCCUUUCCCCCACUAUUAUUUACUUACAUUCUUUUUAAUUUAAUUCAAAGGCCUAAUUUUGAAUUCAAGGCCUUAAGCACGAAAAGGAAAAAAAAAAGAAAAAGAAUCUGAAGUAUCUUUGCCCUCUCUCACUUGCAAAACAAACGAACGUUUUGCAGAGAGAAAUCUGGCUUCCUUUCUGAUGGCUCUUCUGGCUUACAAGGGGCUGUUGGGUCAUUUUCAUGCCUAUGCCAUUUGUCAACAAUUCAGUUAACCUAUCUUCUUACAGCCAUUCAUUUAGUAUUAUUUUAGGAUGAUGGAAAUGAGUCACAACUAAUUGCAGAGUUCCUUACCAACUAACUAGGUUUUUUGAUCCAAAGAAAAUCUGUCCCGAUUUUCCUCCCAUUUUGGCGUCAUUUAUGUUUGUGGCUUACCCAUAUGCUGUUAUCAGUGUAAAAAAAAGAUGAGUGUGAGAACUUGCCAGGGUACAUCUUUUCAAACCUCACGGGACAGGAUUUACUGAAUGGGCACCUAAAGGAGCUCAAGUUUCAUCUGAAAGGAGCCCUGGCUAUACUAUUUCAAGUCACUACAAUACAGUUGUAAUUUGUGCUUCGGCCUUAUUGGCGUGCUUUUACAUUCCCCUAUUCAUAAAACAGUGAUAAUCACCAGAGCAACCAUCAAACACACCCCUUCUUUAGAGAAAGAAGAUCAACAGGAUACUCACUCUACAGUUGUGAGCUGUAUGAUGUGCUAAUGUUUUGGUAAAUUAUCAAAAAUCAUAAAAUCCCAUGAGUAAUAUGUGAUUAAUCUGAUUUUUCUAUUUUAAACAACUUGCAAAAUAAACUUGAUUUAUUCAUUUUUUGGGGAAAACCUGUUUAGCCACUAGUUUGCUGUGUUUAGCUUGCAGUUAUAUAAUAUGGCUUUCUCAGCUGUGGAAGAAUUACAUGAGAAGACUUACACCCCACAAAUUUUUUAUCUAAUAGUCUGUUAAUGAUGUGUUAUAAUAACAUUGAUAUGUCAAUAAUAUUGUAGGACAUCUUGGGAAGAGUUUAAAAGCAAAACGCUAAGCAUCUUGAAGUAAUACUAGCAUGUUGUGUUUAUUAAGUGAUUAUUCAUUGACCUUUAAUAGAUUAGAACACUACACCAGAGAUUCGGGGAAAUAGUCUCUUUUUCCUGAACCCAAUUUGUUUUAAAUUAUCUCCAGAAAAGCAUGACAUUUAAAGUAAGACAGUGUUUUUUAUAUCUCUCACAGUCUGCUUAAUUUUGAGGCCAUUUUCCAAGGAAUUUAUAUUAGUUGAUUUUUUUAAUAGAACUCAACAUCUAAAACGUUAGACUUGCAUCACAUUGACCCAAAUUGUCACUUUUCACUUGCCCUUCUUUCAGUGUAAGAAGAAGCUGUCUUUGGAGUGAGAACAAGGGUGAGGUUCUGGCUCAGAAACCUUAGAAUCACAGACACUGUUUUCCUGAAAACAUUGCUUCUUUCUCUCAUCUCAAAGAAAUGCCACAAGUCGUGUGUAAGUAUAACAUGCUGGACAGGUCCUU